CCUACGGGAGGCAGCAGUGGGGAAUUUUUCGCAAUGGGGGCAACCUGACGAAGCAAUGCCGCGUGGAUGAAGAAGGCCUUCGGGUUGUAAAGUCCUUUCGUGGGGGACGAAAAGGCGGGUCCUAAUACGAUCUGCUGUUGACGUGAACCCAAGAAGAAGCACCGGCUAACUCCGUGCCAGCAGCCGCGGUAAUACGGGGGGUGCAAGCGUUAAUCGGAAUCACUGGGCGUAAAGGGUGCGUAGGCGGUACGUUAGGUCUGUCGUGAAAUCCCCGGGCUCAACCUGGGAAUGGCGGUAGAAACCGGCGCACUAGAGUAUGGGAGAGGGUGGUGGAAUUCCAGGUGUAGCGGUGAAAUGCGUAGAGAUCUGGAGGAACAUCAGUGGCGAAGGCGGCCACCUGGCCCAAUACUGACGCUGAGGCACGAAAGCGUGGGGAGCAAACAGGAUUAGAUACCCUGGUAGUCCACGCCCUAAACGAUGAAUACUAGAUGUUUGGUACCUAGCGUACUGAGUGUCGUAGCUAACGCGAUAAGUAUUCCGCCUGGGAAGUACGGCCGGAAG
rnacentral:rRNA from 1 species